rnacentral:tRNA from 1 species
UUUAUAGUUUAAAAAACAUUUACUUUGGAUGUAAAAAAUUCUUAAUUUUAAUUAAAAU